rnacentral:rRNA from 1 species
CAGUAGCCGCGGUAAUACGAAGGGUGCAGGCGUUAAUCGGAAUUACUGGGCGUAAAGCGUGCGUAGGCGGUGAGUUAAGUCUGCUGUGAAAUCCCCGGGCUCAACCUGGGAAUGGCAGUGGAUACUGGCUCGCUAGAGUGUGUCAGAGGAUGGUGGAAUUCCCGGUGUAGCGGCGAAAUGCGUAGAGAUCGGGAGGAACAUCAGUGGCGAAGGCGGCCAUCUGGGACAACACUGACGCUGAGGCACGAAAGCGUGGGGAGCAAACAGGAUUAGAUACCCCCGUAGUCCCUGUCUCUUAUAC